rnacentral:misc_RNA from 1 species
UUUACAUUCGCGCAAGCUGCACACAUAUUCGUUCUCUGUCUUCCCGGGCAAAGAUUAUUGAAUCACAGCGAAGAGGUGUACAACGCGGCGUAAGAAUAUCUCCUUUACUUUUCUGAAACGUUUGCACUCUUAUAUUUUAAGAGUUAAUGGACGAUUAAUUCAUCUAGAUGCGAGGCUAUGUGGUAUAUAUUUCCUAAAAAGUGUCAUAAUUUAUAUAAAUUUUUACUCGCAAGGACUUUAGUAUUUAGCAAAAUCACAGCUUUCAAAGUAGCGACCAUGUCAAUGAAAACUUUUCUCGCGAUUAUUCAAACAGCAAUGAGUUAUUUUACCGUGUUGCUUUCAACUACAUGAAUUUUUAAUGGAAUUAAAAAGCAAUACAUUUUAGUCGCAUAUUUAAUAAAGAUCGUAGGGGUUUGAUAGAUAAAGAGAUUGCUUUCAUUUUAUUUCUGCGAUAAAUAUAAGGAUACGUUUUAAAAAACUCAGGGUAACAACUGACAUGUUUAGCAACACCAGUAUUAGAAAUAGAAAGUAAAACGCAAAACAAUUAAGUAUUAAAGUAAAGACAAUACACGAUGCACGCACAUUGAAACUCGCACUUUAUCUUGACUUUGAUCUUCUUCUUGGUUUUUCCUUUUUCCUCGUUGCGUUACGGUGAUUGAAUUUUUGAAUGCAAAGAUUCG